rnacentral:lncRNA from 1 species
AGCUAACCCCAGGCCGACUGAACAGUGGACUACCAAUUCAGAACGAAAGCGUAAUAGAACUUGAAGAUGUUUUCAUCAGACAUCUUUGUCCUAUCUCCUCAGUAUACAGACAAAGAUAGAACAAAGAAGGAGCAUUAACAAAAUUAGAACAUUAACAAAAUUAGAACAAGCAUCCAGGACAUCUCCCUUUUGGGGAAAAUUUGAUGGAGGACGCAGAAUCUUAAGCCUGAAUCCAACUUCACUACUAAGUACUGUGCCUUCAUUGGUAGAAUAAGGAUAACAAUCCUCAGUACACAGAUUUGUAGUUUGAAUCAAGUGAGAGAAAUAGACAAAAAGUCUGGAACAAGGGUUGGCAUAAGGCAAGCUCUCAGCAAAUUAAUCCAUCACUCCCUGUCUUUCUUCUUUAACCUUCAAAUUAACUAGAAUGAUGAUGAUUGCUUUAUGUGCAGCCUAUAAUUCACAUGUAGAAUGAGCUGCAUUGUUUUAUAUUUGGAAAUACUCUGCAAAGUGAGUCAUAGGUAAAGUACUUUGAAGCCUAUCCUGAAGAAACUGGAUGGGCAACUUUUCAUAGUUGGUGAAAAUCCUUUGCCAGGACAUGAAGGGGCUCAUAUAGUAAAUUUUUACUAAAUUGAAUUGAAAAAAAAAAAAAAAAAGUAAAAAUUGGAUGAGAAAAUUGUAUGUUGAAAGAAUUCUCUCCUACCACUGAUUUGAUCUAUGCUGGACCUCUAAGUAUUUAUUUAUAUAAGAUAUGACACUUGAUUUUAUAAAACUACACUUAGCUUAAAAGACAUAAUUUAAUUCACACACCUUUCCAGGGUGAUUUCCUUUUUUUUUUUUUUUUAAGACAAUACACUUACCGUCUAUUUAAAGCACAGGGUCAUAGUCGCUCCAAUGACUUUCUGACUAUAAAUUAGAAAACAAUAUUCUUUCUGUAAUAUAUAUGCCACCAGGGCUAGAAUUACAAAUUGAGAGCAAGUAAGGAAAUGGUGGUUGGCUUUCAUUAGUAUUCUAGGUCUGCUUCAGUCAGAUUUACAAAGUGUGACCUAUAGCAGCCGAGUCCAUCAUUUCACCAUCAUUCCUGAGCCUGUCAACUGGAUGGGCAUUGUUUAGCAGCCUCAAAACACUGCAAUCUUUAUUGUCUUAUUACAAAGAGACAAUUAUAUGCCAAGAUAAACUUUUAUGAGCUCAGAAGAAAUGUCUAACAUGAACAUUUAGACAUAAUUUGUCGUUGCUGUUCCCAUCCCAGAGAGUGAGAAAAGUAAGAAACAGAGGGCACAUGUCUGGGGAGCAGUCCUAGUGAACAGUAAAAUUACAUGAUUUAGAUUAGAAUCAGAAGAAAUUUAUAUACAUAUAGUUUAAUUUCUAAUUUACGGUUAUCAUCCACCAAAUCAUUCCCCUAAUACCUUCUUUUUUCUGACUCUGUCUUAAUACCUUAGGAACAUUGCAUGUGCUUGUCUCUAUACAAAUUUCACUCUAAGGAAAUUUCUAUGCCAGAUUUCUAUUAAAGAAAAACACAGUUAAGGAAAACACAGUCUCCUAUUUCCUUGAAUUUCUCUCCCUCUCUCUCUUUUUUAGCCUGACCUUGCUUAUGUGAACACUCAUACCUCAUACUAUAUAUAGAUAAAUUGAUAUACACUUUUCAUUCACCCUAAAAUAAUGGAUUAACACAGUCAGGGGGUUUGGAUUUGGCAGCUUUAAAUACAAUUUUCAGCCCCAGUAGUUCAUUAAGAUCCUAAGCUUAUUCUGUGAUAAUGGAACUUGUGAAGUAAGAAUUGAUUACUCAUUGUCAGAAAUUAUUCCCCAUCAUCAAACAGAGUAGUAAGACUGUGAGGUAUGUCCAAUGUUAUUCAGUAUUUUUGUAUAUUUGACUGAGACACAUGGAAAACACCAUGGUGGGAUAUAGUAACAGUCCAUGUAGGAACUUUUAAAUCUGCAAUUUAUAAAAACUAUACAAAGACAUUAAACGAUGUGUUUUGGAAAGAAUACAUUCUCAUGUCAAUGAGCUUGAUAUGCCCCAGAUGGUACGUAUCAAAGAAAAUGUGGAAGACUUUCUACAGUUAGUGUAGUACUGUGUAGCCUGUCAUCUCAAGACAAGUGUCAAAUACUUUCUUGCCUAUAGUACUACCACACAUUUUCUGGUCCAAAUAUCCCACCGUAUCUUUUGUUUCUGAUAUUUGUAGAACAAAGUCAACAUCUAAACUCAGAUGUAAAUGCUUUGACUAUUUUAAUUCAAAUGUAUAAUUGCUAAACCAGUGGUUUAAAUAAUAAAAACAACUUGCAAGAUCCAAUAAAAUAAAAUUGCAUUAUGUAGUUAUUGAGGUAAUAAAAUAUUAACCGUAAUUGAGUAUUGACUAUUUGCUAUUUGAUCCUCACAAAAUUCAACACUAUAUGUAUUAUUAUUAAACCUAUUUUACAAAUCAUGUUUGUCAAAUAAGUAAUAACUGUAUUAAAUGAAUGGAGAAAGAAGUGAAAGUUGAUUGUGUAAGUAGAUUCAAUUAGGAACAAACUGCAAAUUGCACUGGUUCAUUAUUCAUAUGUCUUUGUCAUCAACUACAUUUUCUAUAGGAUGAAAAUAAAGCAUAAUUAAUCCUGAUAUUUUAAUAGAGAUAAAAUAACUUACUCAUUAGAAAGACCUUUGUUUUGACUUAAUUCACUGAAAAGCAAAAUAUCAUGUAAUUAACUGAAAAUUGAAUAAA